UAUUGUUAUCGUACUCCGUAGAGCGCUCGACAUGCUUAUUUGACAGGCAUCGGUGUAAGAGAGUCGACGGGGAAGAGAACCUCCCCGCUUUCUCCGAGGUGCACACGGGUGUGAGAAUGUCUCCCCGAGGACGGAUACGCCCGUCCACGAGUAAAGGCAGGGCGGCCGACACACCGAGGUGGUCGACCACGAUUUGUCAACGAUGUUCAUUAAUGAUCCUUCCGCAGGUUCACCUACGGAAA
rnacentral:misc_RNA from 1 species